GGCUCAGGACGAACGCUGGCGGCGUGCUUAACACAUGCAAGUCGAACGGAGCGCUUUUGAUAGAGACUUCGGUCAAUGGAUAAAGUUGCUUAGUGGCGGACUGGUGAGUAACGCGUGAGGAACCUGCCUUUCAGAGGGGGACAACAGUUGGAAACGACUGCUAAUACCGCAUGACGCAUGACUGGGGCAUCCCGGACAUGCCAAAGAUUUGUCGCUAAGGGAUGGCCCCGCGGUGCAUUAGCUAGUUGGUAAGGUAACGGCUUACCAAGGCGACGAUGCAUAGCCGAGUUGAGAGACUGAUCGGCCACAUUGGGACUGAGACACGGCCCAGACUCCUACGGGAGGCAGCAGUGGGGGAUAUUGCACAAUGGGCGAAAGCCUGAUGCAGCGACGCCGCGUGAGGGAAGACGGUUUUCGGAUUGUAAACCUCUGUCUUCGGGGACGAAAAUGACGGUACCCGAGGAGGAAGCCACGGCUAACUACGUG
rnacentral:rRNA from 1 species